rnacentral:rRNA from 1 species
UGAAAUCAUAGUACCUGUGAAGAUGCAGGUUACCCGCGACAGGACGGAAAGACCCCGUGGAGCUUUACUGUAGCCUGAUAUUGAAAUUCGGCACAGCUUGUACAGGAUAGGUAGGAGCCUUUGAAACGUGAGCGCUAGCUUACGUGGAGGCGCUGGUGGGAUACUACCCUAGCUGUGUUGGCUUUCUAACCCGCACCACUUAUCGUGGUGGGAGACAGUGUCAGGCGGGCAGUUUGACUGGGGCGGUCGCCUCCUAAAAGGUAACGGAGGCGCUCAAAGGUUCCCUCAGAAUGGUUGGAAAUCAUUCAUAGAGUGUAAAGGCAUAAGGGAGCUUGACUGCGAGACCUACAAGUCAAGC